UAGCUAAGUUGGUUAGAGCGUGGUGCUGAUAACACCAAGGUCGCGGGUUCGAUCCCUGU
rnacentral:tRNA from 1 species